AGAGUUUGAUCCUGGCUCAGGACGAACGUUGGCGGUGCGCUUUAUGCAUGCAAGUCGAGCGAGAAGCAGUUGUUCCGUAAGGUUCAGCUGUGGACAGCGGCGAACGGGUGCGUAACACGUGAGAAACCUGCCCCCCAGACCGGGAUAGCCCAGGGAAACUUGGAUUAAUACCGGAUACUCUCUUUGGACCGCAUGGUCCUUUGAGGAAAGGUCCGCUGCUGGGGGAUGGUCUCGCGGCCUAUCAGGUAGUUGGUGAGGUAACGGCUCACCAAGCCGAAGACGGGUAGCUGGUCUGAGAGGACGAUCAGCCACACUGGAACUGAGACACGGUCCAGACUCCUACGGGAGGCAGCAGCAGGGAAUAUUGCACAAUGGGCGAAAGCCUGAUGCAGCGACACCGCGUGCGGGAUGAAGGCCUUCGGGUUGUAAACCGCUUUCAGGAGGGAAGAAAAUGACGGUACCUCCAGAAGAAGGCCCGGCCAACUACGUGCCAGCAGCCGCGGUAAUACGUAGGGGCCAAACGUUGUCCGGAUUUAUUGGGCGUAAAGGGCUCGUAGGCGGUUCAACAAGUCGGUCGUGAAAGCCCGGGGCUCAACUCCGGGACGCCGGUCGAUACUGUUGUGACUAGAGUUCGGUAGAGGUGAGUGGAAUUCUCAGUGUAGCGGUGGAAUGCGCAGAUAUUGAGAGGAACACCAUUAGCGAAGGCGGCUCACUGGGCCGAUACUGACGCUGAGGAGCGAAAGCGUGGGGAGCAAACAGGAUUAGAUACCCUGGUAGUCCACGCUGUAAACGAUGAACACUAGGUGUAGCGGAUUUAUUCAUGUCUGCUGUGCCGUAGCUAACGCAUUAAGUGUUCCGCCUGGGGAGUACGGCCGCAAGGCUAAAACUCAAAGGAAUUGACGGG
rnacentral:rRNA from 1 species